UACUUCUGUGGGAAAUUUCAAGAUGUUUCAUAUCUGGUCAUUAAUUCGAAUCCAGGAGUAAUCACUUUGAUGAUGCUAACAAAAAUCAGAUGGUUGUAGGGAAGAAAGAAACACCCCAUCUCGUACAACGUGGUAAACAACUAAUUGGUAACUAUCUUCUUCAAUCGAUUAUUUCUAAUAUUGAUCUACGAGAAGAUCUUACUGAUGCAGCAAAUUGAAUUAGUAUCGAUUAUUUCGAAACUACUGGAUCUCUCAUUUAAGUUACUGCUGUGGUGGUGCUUCGCCUAUUGAUGUGUGCCUAAGUUGUAUUCGAAAGAGGUUUUACUAUUUUAAUGGAUUUGAUAUGUGUAAAGAUUGUGACAAGGCUUAUCUUCUGCUGCUGGACACCUUAAGCCUACUCCAAGCCUUUCAUCGGCAAGGAAAUCAUCUUCAUAUCAACGCAGUCGAUUCAGACAAUAAAUCUGCGGCUUAUAUUGCAGAGCAUCGGAAUUGUUCGGGAAAGAUGAAACUUAGUGAAAUACUUCAAGAUAGUAAAUUGCUAAGUCUUCUCUUUGAAGAAGCAACUAUUGAAAGGGAAACGUAUUGGUACAGUGCAUGGAAAGGUAUGGAAUUGUAAAUGCUGAGGAGGCGGAGUGUUAUGCUGUGCUAGCUGUAUUAUGGGCCAAGAAAAUGGAGUGGCAGAAUAUCAAGACUGAAACGGUCUAAAAAUGUGGCAGCAGCGGUUAGUGGAGCAGACACUUGCAUUUCUUGGAAAGAUGGAAUGAUUAUUCAAGACAUUAAGUUUUAUUUACGUAGCUUUGGUAGAUGGUCUUGCGUCAAAAUUGAUCGCAAAUGUAAUAAGCCAGCUGAUGCAUUUGCUAAACAUGCUAGGAAGUUUAUAGUUUGGAAUCAGUGGGAUCAGUAUGUCCCAAACUUUAUUUAUUCUCAGGUUGUCAAAGAGAUGAGCCAUGUUUAUCCUGUCAUCUAAGUAUUUGUUGGAAAGAAGGUAUAGGUAUCUUCAUCAUAUGAGUUUAA